CAAAUUCUCCACUGCAAAUCUCCAGUUGCACUUGAUUUCUUCUUUAGACUUCAAAUCUUCCUCUCACUUAGUCACCUUUGCCAUCACGUCAGAGUCUUCUUUGCUUGGCUUCUUCAUUUUGGAGAUGUUCCUCUCACUUUUUUGGGAUCACAUCAGGCAUCUUCUUCACUUCUUGGCUUCUUCAUUCUUUAGUCUCUAAUUCAAGAUAUCUUCCACUGGUGAAAAUACUAGUACUACUUGUGGGGUUGGGCCGAUUGGUAGCGACACUAAUAUGUCGAUCCCAAGGACAGAAGGUCAAAGUCCUAAUCCUACUCAUGUGACUUCUAUGCCUCCACGACCAACUACAGCUCCCAAACGGAAUUUUUGUCUAUGACAUUGGAGAGUACUCGUAGUCAUGGUCAUCUACAUGAUUGAUGAUUCAGACCAUCUCUAUGAAUUUUGUAUUGGUGCAGCCCCUAGAAGUGUUGAUUUUGAUGGUAGUGAUGCUAAUUUAUGGUGGUAGUGAUGCUGGAAGUUGGCUCUUUGCUGGUGUAAUUCUGGGGCAUUUUGCCAUUUUCUACAAGUGUUUGUUACUGUAGUAUUAU